rnacentral:rRNA from 1 species
AGUGAACGCUGGCGGUAGGCCUAACACAUGCAAGUCGAACGGCAGCACAGUAAGAGCUUGCUCUUACGGGUGGCGAGUGGCGGACGGGUGAGGAAUACAUCGGAAUCUACUUUUUCGUGGGGGAUAACGUAGGGAAACUUACGCUAAUACCGCAUACGACCUACGGGUGAAAGCAGGGGAUCUUCGGACCUUGCGCGAUUGAAUGAGCCGAUGUCGGAUUAGCUAGUUGGCGGGGUAAAGGCCCACCAAGGCGACGAUCCGUAGCUGGUCUGAGAGGAUGAUCAGACAGACGGGAACUGAGACACGGUCCAGACUCCUACGGGAGGCAGCAGUGGGGAAUAUUGGACAAUGGGCGCAAGCCUGAUCCAGCCAUACCGCGUGGGUGAAGAAGGCCUUCGGGUUGUAAAGCCCUUUUGUUGGGAAAGAAAAGCAGCAGGUUAAUACCCCGCUGUUCUGACGGUACCCAAAGAAUAAGCACCGGCUAACUUCGUG